CUCAAAGCCACGGUUCUGUAAGUUUUGCCUCUAGUCUUGCCUCUUACUCAAUGCUUUACAAUUGAGUUUAACCUUGAUUCUGGUUAUUGUGACUAAUCACACUGAAUGUCUUGAGGACUUGAGUGAAGGAAUAAAGGAAGACGAUGAUGAUCAUCAUGUUGGUUCUGAAGAUUUUAUUGAUUUUAUAGAGAUUCAAGGACUAAUUGUGUAAUCUCUGGUUCUCUAUGAAAGGUUCAAAAGGGAAUUUGAUUUUCCCUCUCUUAUCAGCUUUAAUUAUUGUCCAAUGAUGUGCACAGGCUUACAACAUCGGUUAACAGGUUGAUGACUCGCAAUUAGCUUUCAUUAACCGAAAUAAUCGCAUCUUUACAUAUUAAUUUUGAUCGAUUAUAAGGUUUAUGAUCGAUCCCAAGCGAAAAAUCAUCUCGUCUUUUAUUACUUUCAUCUCUACACUUGACUUUGUGUAAUCAACAUUUAUCUCUUUAUUAUUUCCUAAUACAUUGGACAUCCUAGUGUGACUUAACUAUGGGUGGAGCAAACUCAAUCAACAAGGUAAGAAUCAUUUAUUUCAGGGAUUAAUUAGGUAAGUCAUGAAACGAGAAGUGAUUAUAAUUAAUGUACCCAAUAUGACCUUUCUUCAAUCAAAUUGAACACAAGAAACCUUUAAAACAAAAACAAAGUUUAUUACCUUUUAUAUCCUUUUUUCAUUUUCCUUGCCAUUUCUUUCCUCCAUUAUCAUGUUUUCACCAUUUUGCCAUGAUAUGCCAUUCGACUACAAAACAUUGGGUGAAGUGAAAUCAUUCAACUCACAAUUUAAUAUUUUUGUAAUAUUUGAUUAUCUGUGUUAUGAUGCAACAAAAGCUAAACAUUCUGGUAUUCACUGAUAACAUCUGAUUCUUCUGGUAACAUCACCGGUUUCUCCCCUGAUCUGAGCUUCUAUUUCUCAACAACACCUUGCAACAUCCAUCACUCUUCAUUCAUUUCAACAUCCUGUGCUUUAAGAACCAUAUUUUUUUUCAUUCCUUUUCUUUUGCUUUCUACUUUUCCUUUUUUUUACUCUUUUUUACUCCUUUUUAUCACCUUUUCCUUUGAUGGUUAUUUUAUUUUUAUAUCACAAACUCACCUACACCUUAACAAAUUACCUCUAUUAGCAAUCCUUUUACCAAUAAACAAAUCAUUUUUUACUUGAU